rnacentral:rRNA from 1 species
UACGUAGGGGGCGAGCGUUGUCCGGAUUUAUUGGGCGUAAAGAGCGUGUAGGCGGCCAGGUAGGUCUGCUGUGAAAACUCGAGGCUCAACCUCGAGACGUCGGCGGAAACCAUCUGGCUAGAGUCCGGAAGAGGAGAGUGGAAUUCCUGGUGUAGCGGUGAAAUGCGCAGAUAUCAGGAAGAACACCCGUGGCGAAAGGCGGCUCUCUGGGACGGUACUGACGCUGAGACGCGAAAGCGUGGGGAGCGAACAGG